UUAUGACAUCACAUACUACAUGUGUCUUUCUGACUGUAAAGCUUCUUUCUCUCUCUCCAUGCUCCUCUUUAUUCAGACUGCAGCUCUCACCACUCUUGAUAUCACAUGAGAGCAUCCAGCAGUACUUGGGUGCUUGGGAACAGAAGAAGAGUAGGAAAAAUGCACUUGUCCCUGCACAUUCAGUGAUAAUUUGAGUAUUAGGUGGUGAUAAAGGCUACAGUCUUCUUCAGGAGUACUGUAAGUACUUGCAGUCUAAUAAUUUUUAAUGCAUUUCACUUUUAAAUAGCCUUUUACAAUUGGGCAUCACCGUGUCCUGUGAAUUUAAUAAUAUUGAAUUUAAUACUGAGGAUUUCUCACUUCUUCCUCUCUUGGAAAGACAUUACUGUUCUUUUAUAUCUUUUUCAUAACAUUCCUGUUUCAUCUCCAGUCCAUAAGUCCUAAUCUAUUCAGUAAUUGUACAGAAGUAGUUUUAUACCUCCGGUCAUCCUUUUCUUCCUUCUCUGUGUUGUUCUUGGUUCUGCUACUUUUCCAUGACACAGAUGUGAUCAAAAUAAUCCAGGUAGCAUUCAAGAUGUGGACUUUCUCAAAAUUGGAUUGUAAUUUUUGUCUCAUUUUCUAGAUUUCUCACCACCAUUUCAGCACCAGAUACGUGUUUGUAAACUGUUGAACAAUUAGAAGAUGAACAAUCCACAGUUACUCCAAAAUCCCUUCCCUGAACAACAGUAACAGGUUUGGUGUCCCUCAGGGUAUAUGAGCUGGCAGGAUAGUUUUCCUAUCCCUCGCCCACACCCUCUGAAAACCCUUCAGAGACCUUGUGCUGAGUCAGCUGGAGGUGACAGCUCCCUGCUCCUGCCUCCUGCCUACAGCAUGCACCUACUUCCACCUUUCAUCUUCUCCCAGGUAACCAAAUUCCAUUUCUUUCUUCCAAUUCAUACCCUCUUCUGGCUUUUUUUACCCCCACAGAAGUAGUGAACAGCAACUGGACCUUGACCAAAUAGCUGGUCUUAGCUGGAUCAGUCAAUAGUAAAAUCC
rnacentral:lncRNA from 1 species